UCUCCGUAGGUGAACCUGCGGAGGGAUCAUUACCGAGUGAGGGUUUCGGCCCGACCUCCAACCCUUUGUGAAUCAAACCUGUUGCUUCGGGGGCGACCCUGCCGUUCGCGGCGCCGGCGCCCCCGGAGACCAUCAAACACUGCGUCAAUUUGCGUCGGAGUCUUGAUUAAAAUCAAAACAAAACUUUCAACAACGGAUCUCUUGGUUCUGGCAUCGAUGAAGAACGCAGC
rnacentral:misc_RNA from 1 species